GCGGGGGACAGUGGCGAGCAACGGGGGACGACGGAGAGCGGCGGGGAAUGAUGGGGAACGACGGGGAACAGCGGCAAGCAGCGGGGGAUGACAGAACGGCGGGGAAUGAUGGGGAACGGCGGCAAGCGACGGGAAACGGCAGGGAGCGGCGGGGAUAGCGGGGGCCGACGGGACAACAGGGGACAGCGGCGAGCGGCGAGGAACAAUGGGGGACGACGUCAAGCGGCGGGGAACAACGAGGGACGACGGGGACGGCGGCAAGAGGGGGCAAGUGGCGGCAGCGGGGGAACGGCAGGGGACGGCGGUGAGCGGCGGGGGACGGCGGUGAGCGGCGGGGGACAACAGGGCACAGCAGCGAGCGGCGGUGAACAGCGGGGGACGACGGGGGACGGCGUCGAGCGGCAGGGAACGAUGGGGGACGGCGGCAAGAGGGGGCGAGUGGUGGCAGCAAAGGAACAGCAGGCGAUGGGGAAUGGCAGCAGACGGCGGCGAGCGGCGGGGGACGGCGGAGAGCGGCGGGGGACGCCGGCAGAUGACGGGGGAACGGCAGGGGACAACGGGGGACAGCGUCGAGCGGGAACAGCGGCAAGCAGCGGGGGACAACAGAACGGCGGGGAAUGACGGGGAACGGCGGCGAGCAACGGGAAACGGCAGGGAGCGGCGGGGGACACCGGGGGACGACAGCAGACAACCGGGGACAGCGGCGAGUGGUGAGGAACGACAGUGGGCGGCGUCAAGCGGCGGGGAACAAUGAGGGACGACGCGGGACGGCGGCAAGAGGGGGCAAGCGGCGGCAGCGGGGGAACGUCAGGGGACGGCGGUGAGCGGCGGGGGACAACAGGGCACAGCGGCGAGUGGUGGUGAACAGCGGGGGACGACGGGGGAGGGCGUCGAGCGGGAGGGAACAAUGAGGGACGACGGGGGACGGCGGCAAGAGGGGGCGAGUGGUGGCAGCAGAGGAACAGCAGGCGAUGGAGAACGGCAGUAGAUGGCGGCGAGCGGCGGGGGACGGCGGACAGCGGCGGGGAAUGAUGGGGAACAGCGGCGAGUGACGGGGAACGGCAGGGAGCAGCGGGGGACGCCAGCAGAUGACGGGAGAUGCCAGGGGACAAUGGGGGACAGCGGGAGCGGCGUCAAACGACAUCGGACGACGGGGGACGGCGGCAAGUGGGGGCGAGCGGCGGCAGCGGGGAAAUGGCAGGGAGCGGCGGGGGAUGGCGGCGAGCGACGGGGGAUGGCAGGGAGUGGCAGGGGACGGCGUGGAACGACGCAGAACGGCGGGGAGUGGCGGGGGACGGCGGAGAGCGGCGGGGGACAGCGGCAGAUGACGGGGGAUGCCAGGGGAUGACGGGGAACAGUGUCGAGCGGCGGGGAACAACAGGGGACGACGGGGGACGGCGGCAAGUGGGGGCAAGCGGCGGCAGUGGGGAAAUGGCGGGGAGCAGCGGGGAACGGCGGCGAGCGACGGGGAACGGCAGGGAGUGGCAGGGGACGGCGGGGAACAGCGGCAAGCAGCGGGGGACAGCGAUGAGCGGCAGCAAGCAGCGGGGGAUGACGGGGAACGGC
rnacentral:lncRNA from 1 species